rnacentral:rRNA from 1 species
UACGUAGGGGGCGAGCGUUGUCCGGAUUUAUUGGGCGUAAAGAGCUCGUAGGCGGUUUGGCAAGUCGGGUGUGAAAACUCCGGGCUCAACUCGGAGACGCCACUCGAUACUGCUAUGACUCGAGUCCGGUAGGGGAGUGCGGAAUUCCUGGUGUAGCGGUGAAAUGCGCAGAUAUCAGGAGGAACACCGGUGGCGAAGGCGGCACUCUGGGCCGGUGCUGACGCUGAGGAGCGAAAGCGUGGGGAGCGAACAGG